AUAGAAGGUAUUACCGACGAUUCCGCCGGGAAUCCUACCUUUGGAUAUAGGUUGGUUACCCUAAUUGAACAGCAUUAUUCUUGUCAGGAAAGUUCAACUUACAAUAGCGCCUAUUUAUAAUUUGUUGUCUAAUGUUUAUCAACAAAAAUAAAAAAAAUAACAUUACUAUCCAAAAAUAUUGCACCAAUGCAGUCAAAUAAUGAUCGACUGGCUCAAAAUGUUGACAGUAAGCUGGCUCAAGAUGGCGUCUUCGCAUAUCUCUCCCUAGAGGAUAACUACCCAGCAGCAGAACACGGUGAUAAUGAGCCAACAGUAAAUACAACAUCAAGAUCCUCGGAAAGGACUUUCUCUUUCGAACAAACAUAAUGGAAGCAUACUCUACACGCGCGACAUAUUCAAUCGGGCCAACCGUGUGACUCGUUUGGAAAAAAGCGCUCAUCAUCGGUUUCAUGGCAGCGAAGUGAGCAGACAAAAGAAGGCGUUUUUUUCCGCAAGGUCGCUCUGGGCAAAAGUUCAGCCAAUUGCAAGUAAUAAACCACCGGAGUGACAGUAUCCGUGCUGUUUGGGACCUUUUUCCAUAUAUUGUAGCUUUUGAAUUUUAAUACCCGGUCGAAACGAUGGCAAGUGCUGCCGAUAACUGGGUCAAAAAGGCGGAGGGAGGAUCAGGAAAUUUCUGCUCUCGGUUUUGAAUUUUUCUUUUCAAUACAAAUAGGUUAUCGAUCUGAGUAUCCCUAAGGAUAAGGAACCAGAGCCGGCGGCUGUCAGCCCAAAGAAAGAGAAUGCGGAAAAACCUAGUUCACCGCCAGUAGAACCAGCGAUCAAAUUACUCCCUUAGAAACGGCUGCACCUGCAGUUUUGUUUUCGGUAGCUACAGAAAUUAAGACUUUAGCAGCUCCUGAAGAAAAAAAAAGCUGCUAGCGAAAAUGGAGAAACAGCUUCCUCCACGGAAGAUGCAGAGGCAUUCAACCCGGCGGAUGCAAGUUUGCUAAUUAAACUUAUUCGCAAAGGUCUAGUAGAAUCAAAGCUGGAUCUGGGGGUGAAGGAUCCUUCUUCGCCGCUAUACUUGGUUAAAACUUUCGAAGCUUUGCACAUGAAUUCGGAACUGCUUCAGGGAGUCUAUGUUAUGGGUUUCAACGCUCCUUCCAAGAUUCAGAAGACGGCUCAACCUACUCUGUUGGCCGAUCCGCCACAGAACAUAAUCGCCCAGAGUUGGUCGGGAACAAGAAAAACCACUGCCUUCGUGCUGGCAAUGCUCAAUCGAGUCGAUCCGUUGAAAAACUAUCCGCAGGUGAUUUGCCUCUCCCCACGUAUGAACUGGCAAUUCAGAAGGGGAAAGUAGCUGCAAAAUGGCAAAGUUUUGUGCGGAAAUCGAACUUGGUUAAACCGUUCGCGGUGAGAAGAUCGUCAAAGGGGCGAAGCUGACUAAUCAUAUCAUCAUCGGAACAGCCGGGCGUUCGACCUUAAGAAGAUUGCAAUUUUUGUACCGGACGAGGCGGGCGUUAUGAUCGCUGUUCUUUUUAGCCACGUACGAGCGGGAGGUGAUGGGAUUCGCCCAGUACAUCGUAACCAAUCCGAUCAUGAUUCUUCUGGUGCGGGAGCAAGAAUCACUCGAUAACACCAAACACUACUACGUCAAAUGCCGCAACCAGGACGAGAAAUAUCAAGCAAUUUCAAACAUGUACGGUGUGAUUACCGUCGGACAAGCGAUCAUUUUCUGUCAUAUGAUGUAUAGGACAGUUGUAAACUCCAAGUAAACUUAUUUUCGGCAUUGUUAAUCGAUCGAAACAGGCACGCAAAACGGCUGGUUGGACCAGGAUAAUCACUCAGUAGCGGUACUGUCCGGUGAUCUAACGGCGGAGCAACGGUUGGCCGUUCUGGAUCGAUCCUGAGCCGGACUAGAGAAGGUAUUGAUUGCAACGAACGUUUUGUCUAGGGGUAUCGAUGUUGAACAGGUGACCAUUGUCAUCAACUUCGACCUGCCGAUGGAUUAGCAGGGACGAGCCGAUUGCGAAACGUAAUUUGUAAUUUAUUUAUCAGCAGAACGAAAACUUGUCAGUUACAUAAACUUUGUAUCAAGUCAAGGAAAUAUCUACAUCGAAUUAGACGCACCGGUAGAUUCGGUAAGUGUGACUCAUUCUUGUGAUCCUAUAGAUUGUAUUUCUUCCCACUUCUUUAACAGAACGGAAUCACCAUCAACCUAGUGGGCAGUGAUCGAAGCAUGAUGAUUUGCAGAUCAAUCGAAAAACACUUCCGGAAAAAGAUUCAGUUGCUAGACGCGGAGAACUCGGACGAAAUUGAAAAGAUCGCACCGUAAAGUGUUUUCGACCAGCUACUGGUGAAAGGCAUAGGAGCUUUUUUGGGUCAUACUUGUUAUGAUUCUGAAUUUAUAAUUUUAUUAAUUUUUUUUUCUUCCUUGACCUGACAUAUGUAACCAACAGGGUAAUAAAUUUACAAUUAAAAUUACAAUUUAUCUCUACCCAGUUCUAUCCAAACAUUUGAAAAGGGCCUAACUGCAAAAUGUAACAAAUUGAAAUUUCAUGUUUUCCAUUAACAAAUA